GGUAAGUUUCUGCUUGAGUCUAUCCAUCUCAUUAGAUGCUCCGUGGACUAGAAUUAUGUUGGGAGGCAUAAGUUCUUUCAAGAAGGAACUCGUCUGAGCAUAAUCUGCGUGAGCUGAGAAUGAAAUAUAAUGAACCUGCAUAUUAAGUGGAGCAGACAAGCCAUUUGUGAGAGUGACUUCCUUUGGUUCAUUGAUGAUAGUCUUAGCCAAGGUCCCUUCCACUACAUACCCAGGUAUGACACACGCAUUUUUCUUGUCAGAGCACCAUUUAUCGAACAGUUGCCUCGACAAACCACUUUGAAGACUACCUGGACUUGCCAUCACCACACAUGGC
rnacentral:misc_RNA from 1 species